rnacentral:rRNA from 1 species
GACGAACGCUGGCGGCGUGCUUAACACAUGCAAGUCGAACGGACAGGCCCUGCUUUUGCGGGGUGCUCGUGUGGCGCACGCGUGAGUGACACGCGUGUAUACUCCCCCUAUCUUUGUGAUAACUCUUCGGGAAUCGGGCUAAUACCCGGUAUGAGCUCCUGAUCCACGGUGUGCAUUGGAAAGUUUCGGCGGUUCGGGAUGGUCUAGCUGCUUCUCCGCUUCUUGGGGGGGUAGUGGCUGACCCAGCGUUUGACGGGUAGCCGGCCUGAGAGGGUGACCGGCCACAUUGGGACUGAGAGACGGCCCAGACUGCUACGGGAGGCAGCAGGGGGGAAUAUUGCACAAUGGGCGGAAGCCUGAUGCAGCAACGCCGCGUGCGGGAUGACGGCCUUCGGGGUGUAAACCGCUUUCGCCUGUGACGAAGCGUGAGUGACGGUAAUGGGUAAAGAAGCACCGGCUAACUACGUG